CCUACGUGUGGCAGCAGUGGGGAAUAUUGCACAAUGGGCGAAAGCCUGAUGCCGCAACGCCGCGUGAGCGAUGAAGGCCUUCGGGUCGUAAAGCUCUGUGCCCAAGGAAGAUAUUGAAGGUACUUGAGGCUGAAGCCCCGGCCAACUACGUGCCAGCAGUCGCGGUAAUGCGUAGGGGGCUAGCGUGAUACGGAAUUACUGGGCGUAAAGUGUGCGUCGGUGGUUUCUUAAGUCAGAGGUGAAAGGCUACGGCACAAGCGUAGUAAGCCUUUGAAACUGGGAAACGUUAGUGCAGGAGAGGAGAGUAGAAUUCCUAGGGUAGCGGUGACAUGCUUAGAUAUUAGGAGGAACACCAGUUGCGAAGGCGGCUCUCUGUACUGUAACUGACACUGAGGCACGAAGUCGUGGGGAGCAAACAGGAUUAGAUACCCCGGUAGUC
rnacentral:rRNA from 1 species